ACGUAGGGGGCGAGCGUUAUUCGGAAUUACUGGGUGUAAAGGGUAUGUAGGCGGCCCUUCAAGUCGCGUGUCAAAGUCUAGUGCUCAACGCUGGGUGUGCGCGUGAUACUGACGGGCUUGAGGACUGGAGAGGUGAGCGGAAUUCCCGAUGUAGUGGUGAAAUACGUAGAGAUCGGGAAGAACACCAACGGCGCAGGCAGCUCACUAGGCAGUUACUGACGCUAAGGUACGAAAGCGUGGGGAUCAAACAG
rnacentral:rRNA from 1 species